CUACGGGUGGCUCCAGUGGGGAAUAUUGCACAAUGGACGAAAGUCUGAUGCAGCAACGCCGCGUGGAGGAUGACACAUUUCGGUGCGUAAACUCCUUUUAUAUAAGAAGAUAAUGACGGUAUUAUAUGAAUAAGCACCGGCUAACUCCGUGCCAGCAGCGCGCGGUAAUACGGGGGGUGCAAGCGUUACUCGGAAUCACUGGGCGUAAAGCGCAUGUAGGCGGACUUGUAAGUUGGAAGUGAAAUCCUAUGGCUCAACCAUAGAACUGCUUCCAAAACUGCUUGUCUAGAAUAUGGGAGAGGUAGAUGGAAUUUCUGGUGUAGGGGUAAAAUCCGUAGAGAUCAGAAGGAAUACCGAUUGCGAAGGCGAUCUACUGGAACAUUAUUGACGCUCAGAUGCGAAAGCGUGGGGAGCAAACAGGAUUAGAUACCCGGGUAGUC
rnacentral:rRNA from 1 species